rnacentral:snoRNA from 1 species
AACUAUAACAGUCGAUGAGGAAAGGCUACAGUUAAGUCAUCCGGUGCAGCAAGACAGGCUUGCCUGUCGUCUCGCGUUGCGGGCGCUGUGGAAAACAUCACGGCCGUUUUCACCACUCAUAUAGUGAUGUAUUUUGUCUGAGGCUG